rnacentral:ncRNA from 1 species
GUUUCAGGGCGGGGUGCAAUUCCCCACUGGUGGUGAUGGGACGCAUAUGUCCCCAAGUCCGCGCGCUGCGAAGAAAAGAGCAGCUGAUCUGGUGAGAAUCCAGAACCAACGGUCACAGUCCGGAUGGAAGAAA